GGAUGAAUCGGGCCUUGGCGAGACUGUCUGAGAAAGCUCGAACACUGAGCCUGAAUCAGACAGAGAAGGAAAAUAAACCUCACUGCGAGAAACAUCAGGAAGAACUGAAGCUGUUUUGUGAAACGGACAAGAAAGUGUUUUUUUCUGAUCUGUCGAGAUGCGCGGGAACUCAAGUCUCACAGCUUCACACCGAUAGAAGAAGCUGUUGAAAUCUACAAAGAUCAGGUCAAAUCUUCCUUCGAAUCUCUCA